rnacentral:rRNA from 1 species
UUAGCGGCGGACGGGUGAGUAACACGUGGGCAACCUGCCCCUUAGACUGGGAUAACUCCGGGAAACCGGAGCUAAUACCGGAUAAUCCCUUUYUCCACCUGGAGAGAGGGUGAAAGAUGGCUUCGGCUAUCACUAGGGGAUGGGCCCGCGGCGCAUUAGCUAGUUGGUAAGGUAACGGCUUACCAAGGCRACGAUGCGUAGCCGACCUGAGAGGGUGAUCGGCCACACUGGGACUGAGACACGGCCCAGACUCCUACGGGAGGCAGCAGUAGGGAAUCUUCCGCAAUGGACGAAAGUCUGACGGAGCAACGCCGCGUGAGUGAGGAAGGCCUUCGGG